rnacentral:rRNA from 1 species
AGAGUUUGAUCAUGGCUCAGAUUGAACGCUGGCGGCAUGCCUUACACAUGCAAGUCGAACGGCAGCGCGGGGCAACCUGGCGGCGAGUGGCGAACGGGUGAGUAAUAUAUCGGAACAUACCUUAGAGUGGGGGAUAACGUAGCGAAAGUUACGCUAAUACCGCAUACGCACUAAGGUGGAAAGUGGGGGAUUCGCAAGAACCUCAUGCUCAUGGAGUGGCCGAUAUCUGAUUAGCUAGUUGGUGAGGUAAAGGCUCACCAAGGCGACGAUCAGUAGCUGGUUUGAGAGGACGACCAGCCACACUGGAACUGAGACACGGUCCAGACUCCUACGGGAGGCAGCAGUGGGAAUUUUGGACAAUGGGGCAACCCUGAUCCAGCAAUGCCGCGUGAGUGAAGAAGGCCUUCGGGUUGUAAAGCUCUUUUGUCAGGGAAGAAACGGUGAGUUCUAAUAAAGCUUGCUAAUGACGGUACCUGAAGAAUAAGCACCGGCUAACUACGUG